AGAGUUUGAUCCUGGCUCAGGAUGAACGCUAGCGGCAGGCUUAACACAUGCAAGUCGAGGGGUAACACGGGUGCUUGCACCUGGUGACGACCGGCGGAUGGGUGAGUAACACGUAUGGAACCUGACCCUUACUGGAGGAUAGCCCGGAGAAAUCCGGAUUAAUACUCCGUAAUAAAGGAAGUGGCAUCACUUCUUUUUGAAAGCUCCGGCGGUAAGGGAUGGCCAUGCGCCCGAUUAGCUUGUUGGUGGGGUAACGGCCCACCAAGGCGACGAUCGGUAGGGGGCCUGAGAGGGUUAUCCCCCACACUGGUACUGAGACACGGACCAGACUCCUACGGGAGGCAGCAGUGAGGAAUAUUGCGCAAUGGAGGCAACUCUGACGCAGCCAUGCCGCGUGCAGGAAGAAGGCGCUAAGCGUUGUAACUGCUUUUGAUCGGAAAGAAACCCCGGGACGUGUCCCGGGUUGACGGUACCGGUCGAAUAAGCACCGGCUAACUUCGUGCCAGCAGCCGCGGUAAUACGAAGGGUGCAAGCGUUAUCCGGAUUCAUUGGGUUUAAAGGGUGCGUAGGCGGAACGAUAAA
rnacentral:rRNA from 1 species